CAGCUCCUCUUCGGAAACAACCUUCCACCGGAAUCACCAGGUACAGAGUCCUCCUUUCUGCUGUGACGCUUCUGCCACUGGACUCCUCCCCCGACUUGCCAAUACCGCAACUAUAUCCACUAAAUCUGCAGCUCAGCAAAUAUUAACAACACUAAGGAGCCUGAAUGGACAGAUAGGUCAGCCAAGCAGUCAUCAAUUCACCAGCACAGACCGUCAGCACACAGCUCUGUGGCAGUCAUGUGCGCAAUGACGUCCGAAUCACAGCGGGAGGAACUUAAAUCAAAUGCAAAACACACAAGAUCCAACGCCGGUAAGAUGAUAUUUGACUCGCUUUGGAAUCAGAGCCUGGCGGUAAAAGCUAAGCUAUGGUUCUGAUUCCUGCGGAUGCCGGAAGUUCAGGUGGACUGUCCUGAUUGUAAGCUGUAAGAACUGUUAAAGACGCCUCACUAGAACAAUAAGUAGUGUUAGAAAUCUGCCUGCAAUGGUCCCUCUGCAAAUCAUCAAAUUAUGAAAAAUUAAUUAUUUAUUAAAAACAGGCUUCACCCAAAGGAAGAGGAGCUUCUUUAAAAAAAAUAUUUGCAUGCUCAAUGUAAUGCCAGUACAGUUGGAGUCAUUGUAGCACCCACUUGAUUUUUAGAGCAUGACACAGACUUUUACUGACAUAACACAUCCACCUGCACACUAAUUAGUUUCUGCAAGACUAACACAUUACCUUGUAGAACAGAGGGGGUCAUUCCGAGUUGAUCGCUUGCUGCCGAUUUUUGCAGCGCAGCGAUUAGGUAAAAAAAAAAAAUUAAAAACUACGCUUGCGUAUGCACUGCAAUGCGCAGGCGCAUCAUACGGGUACACAGAGGAUCUGUGCUGGGCAAUGGAUUUAGCGAAGAUUCCAUUCAUACAGCCGAACGCAAGGUGAUUGACAGAAAGAGGGCGUUUAUGGGUGUCAACUGAACAUUUUCUGGGGGUGUCUGACGUCAAUUCCGGCACCAAAAAAACUGAAGUGAUCGCAAGGGCUGAGUAAGUUCAGAGCUACUCUGAAACGGCACAAAAUGUUUUUGCUGCACUUGGCUGCAAAGGCGUUCGCACACUUGCAAAGUGAAAAUACACUGCCCCGUGGGUGGCGACUAUGCGUUUGCACGGCUGCUAAAAGUAUCUAGCGAGCAAUCAACUCAGAAUGACCCCCAGAGUGUCACUUGCCUGAACACUCUCAAACAGUAGUUUAUAUAUACAUUUGUAAUAUUCUCUUUAAUGUAAGCUUUAUCUAUUACAUAUAAAAAUAAAUUGUGUAUAGUAAUGUCUGCUGUAUGACACCCAUUAUCAAGUGUUGGGACUGGGAGACUGGCGCUGAGGAUCCCGGUGGUCAGCAUACCGACCCUGGGACAUACCUCCCAACUGUCCCGAUUUUGGCGGGACAGUCCCGUUUUCCCCAGUCUGUCCCGCUGACCCACCCGCGGGUCGCAAUGUCCUACGAGUGGGGGGGCAGUUGGGAGAUCCCUCCCCGUCACUCGCUGCUCUGAAGAGAGCAGCAGUGAAUAGACGCUGUGCGCAUGCGCACAGCGUCUAUUCCUGGCAGAGAGGGACAAGGGGCAUGGCCAGCAGCUCUCACAGUGCUGUCCAUGCCCCAUAAUGAUGAAAAUGGGGGCGUGGCUUGUGAUCGCAGCACUUGCUGCGAGGCCAUGCCCUCUUUUCUGUAGGCCAUGCCUCCUAAUUUCGGCCGCACGCUGAAGCCCUUCGUUAGAUGCCAGCAAAGUUGAGAGGUAUGCCUGGAAUCCCGGUAGCAGAAUGCCGGCCCGGGAAGAGGGGGGGGGGGGGGAGAGGAAAGGCGAGCGCAACAAAGCCUCUUGCGAGCUCGCUGUGCUCGCCACAGGUCAUAUUCCCACUCUAUGGGUGUCAUGGACUGCCGGGCUGGUAAGCGGGCGGGAUCCCGGCUUCGGCACGGUGUCCGCGGGGAUCCCGAGUGCUGUCCGCAUGACUAGAUCCAAUUAUCAAGAUAGAAUAGUAGUUACAUUACAUUCUAUAGAAUUAUUCAGGGUUGGCUGGUUUAAAUCAAAUGUUUUUUUGUUUUGUUUUUUUGUAAAAACCACUCUGGUUUUUUUAUUAUGCUGUUAGUACAGGCACGGCGCCACGACUUAUUAAAAAAAGCCUAUUAUACUAAAAAAAGUGUUUUUAUUCAUAAUGCUCAAUGCCAGUGACAUGGCCAAUGCUUAUGCUUAACUCUUCCUUUGUGUGUGUUUCCCUGAAAAGUGCUUUUGCAUUUUCCAUUUUGUAUAACUAUUCAGAUUUAAUUAUAAUAACAGUAAGACUAAUGCUUAACAUUCAUUUGUUGUUCUUAUUUUCAAUUUCAUCUACUGUA